rnacentral:rRNA from 1 species
GGUGAACGCUGGCGGCGUGCCUAAUACAUACAAGUCGAGCGAAUGGAUUAAGAGCUUGCUCUUAUGAAGUUAGCGGCGGACGGGUGAGUAACACGUGGGUAACCUGCUCAUAAGACUGGGAUAACUCCGGGAAACCGGGGCUAAUACCGGAUAACAUUUUGAACCGCAUGGUUCGAAAUUGAAAGGCGGCUUCGGCUGUCACUUAUGGAUGGACCCGCGUCGCAUUAGCUAGUUGGUGAGGUAGCGGCUCACCAAGGCAACGAUGCGUAGCCGACCUGGGCGGGUGAGCGGGCACCCUGGGACUGAGACACGGCCCAGACUCCUACGGGGUGCAGCAGUAGGGAAUCUUCCGCAAUGGACGAAAGUAUGACGGAGCAACGCCGCGUGAGUGAUGAAGGCUUUCGGGUCGUAAAACUCUGUUGUUAGGGAAGAACAAGUGCUAGUUGAAUAAGCUGGCACCUUGACGGUACCUAACCAGAAAGCCACGGCUAACUACGUGCCAGCCGCCGCGGUAA